rnacentral:rRNA from 1 species
UACAGAGGGUGCGAGCGUUAAUCGGAAUUACUGGGCGUAAAGCGCACGUAGUCGGCUUUGCAAGUCGGGUGUGAAAUCCCCGGGCUCAACCUGGGAACUGCAUCCGAGACUGCAUUGCUAGAGUAUGGGAGAGGGAAGCGGAAUUUCUGGUGUAGCAGUGAAAUGCGUAGAUAUCGGAAGGAACAUCAGUGGCGAAGGCGGCUUCCUGGACCAAUACUGACGAUCAGGUGCGAAAGCGUGGGGAGCAAACAGG